GGGCGGUCCGUAGCCCGAUGGGCUGGCGUGGCGAGCAGGAGCCGCGCCGGCCCGCGAGGGAACUUCCAGCCAAUGGGAGAGCGGCACGGCAGCGCCCGCCGGACGCUGGACACAGACGUGACCCCAGACCGCCUGGCCUUGGGUGGAUCGGGUCUCUGGGCAGAGCGUGUGUCCGGCAGAGCUAGGACCGGAAAAAGCCACUCUAGGUCUAGGUUAGGAGUGAUGACAGUUAAAAGAUAUAUAAGGAAAAGAAGGAAAGGAUCGUUUCUGUAUAAAACGAGCUAUUUUUGCAUAUCGAGCGCAUAAGUUUUAUAACUUAGGUGUCUGUUUAUGGAGAGGGUGGGAUACUACCUUUUAGCUCAAGGAGUGCACAAAACGGUAUCAUGAAUUCUGCUCUUUUGAUUCAAACACCCAACUUUGAAGAAUCGCUCAUGGUGCUUGUAAAACACGUAUCCCCAGAUCCCUCCCUAGACCUAUCGAACAACUCCAACGGUCUCGGGAAUGUGCGUGGUUUCUGAAAAGCUUGGGAAGCAAGACCUGACUAGACCCCCAAAUCUGAUAUUGGCUGAAUGGCCGACCAAUGGAGUGCAUAAGAAGGUAAGUUGUCAUGUGGCACUCUCAUCACAUUUUCAGGGUAGAGGACUUUCUGAAAUACAGAGGAGGUGUAAGGGGAACUAAGAAAACACUUGAUUACAGCACAUGGUAGCUGGCACAUAGGAAGGUCCUUACUGUUGGCUGAGCCUUGUUCUUUCCCAACAUUGAGACAUCGAGAGCAGCCCAAGCAGCAAAAAGAUUACGAAGACAGCUUGAGCCAGGGUCUUUAGACUACACAGCUUCUGCUUUUUCCCCUCUGUGAAGGAUGCCUAGGGACUGUGCUGGCAGCCCAGCUCCAGCCCUUGAUCCUGAACUUCUGCCUUCCUGGAACUUGCAAACUGAAUGUGAAUAUUCAGUUGCAUGUUGCAUGUUUCCUUCCGGGGCUACUUUAUUGCAAAUUUUAACUUAAAUUUGACCUGGUUAACUGCAGGCCACAUUGAGGACAGCUUCUGUCUUGAUGUUAGAGAAAAACUCUUAUAAAAAUAAAUCUUUUAAUAACCAGAGAAAACCAUCCAACUCCUGAAAGAUGCUUUUCAUAGUAAAACUGAUGGUUUUCAAAACACUUUGACAUGUGUGCUUAUUUAAUCUUCAUAGAAAACUGUAAAGCUUAUUCCACAAGCCAUAAUGGAAGAAAUCAGGUUGGGGGCUCAAUUCUCAGAGCCUGUUGGCUCUAGGCAGAAAGGGAGUUACUACACUUUAGGGCAAUUUGCACUUCAAAUAGCUGGCCCUUGAGCAGACAGGUCCCUCUGCUCUUUCCAAGCCACCCAAAAGCAAUAGUUUUGACAUUAGUGCCCUGCAAGGCAUAGCCUAGGCAUUAGGGUCUAGGUUCAGAAAGUGUUUCCUUCUGGAAUGAAACUGAAAUGAAAGAAAUGGGUUAUUUUGUGCUAGUCCUUUCGAUUAGGACUCUCCUUAAGCUAAAUGUACUGAUAAGAUUGGGACAACACCCAUACCCAAUCAGAAAACUCCAGUCUUGAAAAUCAACUCUUUAAGAUAAACAGUUUGAUUUGUGACAGGUUUUCCGGUAAUCUCACAAGCGCAUCAGGGACUGAUAAAAAAGGAAAGGAGGCACUUUUUCAGUGUAAAAAUGGCUUUACUCUGGGGAAUGCAAAGAGAUGACAACUAAGAACUCACAUUCAGAAGUCAGGUGUUCAAAUCGUAGCUCUGCCCUAAGAGUGACCUUGGGAAGUUACUUUUCUAGGACUUGUUUCCUCAUCCAUAAAAUGGGUGAGUGAUGAGGACAAUGUUUAUCACAGUUGUGAUUACAUCAUAUAUAUAUAUAAAGUACUUACAACCGUGCUACAUAGUGAGACCUAUUAAUACUUUUCAACUCUGAAACUUUUAAAACUAGCACCCGGCUGGGCGUGGUGGCUCACACCUGUAAUCCCAGAACUUUGGGAGGCCAAGGCAGGCAGAUCACUUAAGGUCCGGAGUUCAAGACCAACCUGGCCAAAAUGAUGAAACCCCAUCUCUACUAAAAAUACAACUACCCGGGCGUGGUGGUGGGCGUCUGUAAUCCCAGAUACUCAGGAGGCUGAGGCACGAGAAUCACUUGAAUCCAGGAGGCAGAGGUUGCAGUGAGCUGAGAUAGCGCCACCACACUCCAUUCUGGGCAAGAGAGUGAGACUGCGUCUCAAAAAAAAAAAAGUAUUUCAAAAGCAGAGGUUUUGCAAAGCUGAAGGCCUAAAAAAAAGUAUAUAAUUACAGUUCAAACUUAUUUGAUGGGCACAAAUCCAAGUUUGUCAACAUGCUCUGUUAGCAAGAUACAGGAUACUCGAGAGGCUGAGGCAGGAAGAUCCCCUGAGCCAGUAGUUUGAAGCUGCGUUUCCUAUGAUCGUGGCUGUAAAUAGCCAAUGCAAUUACCUGGGUAACAGUGAGACUUCAUCUCUUUUUUAAAAAGGCAUAGGGGACUGGGACUGGUAAAAACAAAAACUAGUACUUCCCGUGUGAAGGGUCAUUUGGCAAUUCCUAGUGUCAGAAAAAAAUUACAACAAAUUUACUUACAGAUCUAACUGGCGUUUAUUCAUAACUUAUGAAUGGGGCAGCCUCCAUUCUACAAAACAGAAUGAAAGCUCCCAAUGAGAAACAGCAGAAUAGUGGGUUUUGUAAGAUGAGAGCAAGGAAACAAAACAAUGAAAAAUAACUGAUUGGUUAACAUCGGGUUACUUUUUUUUUAAGGGUUAAAGAAGAAGGGACUUCCUUAUUAUUCUGAUUCAGACAGACUGGGAUUUUCUGUUUUCAGGAAAAACUGGUCUGUAAAGUUUCCAUGUAACUGUGUGGCACUUAAUAUAUGUAACUACUUUGGUCUGCUAGGACCUAGUGCAGAAACUCAGUCCACAAACAAUGACCCCCCAUAAUUUUGGUUUAACGUUAGCACAAGUCGCCAGGCGCGGUGGCUCACGCCGGUAAUCCCAGCACUUUGGGAGGCUGAGGCGGGUGGAUCACUUGAGGUCAGAGUUCAAGACUAGCCUGGCCAACAUGGUGAAACCCCAUCUGCACUAAAACUACAAAAAUCAGCUUGGCAUAGUGGCACAUGCCCGUAGUCCCAGCUACUUGGGAGGCUGAGGUAGGAGAAUUGCUUGAACCCAGGAGGCGGACGUUGCAGUGAGUCGAGAUUGCGCCACUGAACUCCAGCCUGAUGACAGAGCAAGACUAUCUCAAAAAGGAAGAAAAGAUAGUGAGAUUCCCUUCUAGCAGUUCUAACACCAAACCACUGAAACAAAUAUAUGAACUAUACAUCAAAAAUAUUCAUCAUGCACAUGCCCAUACCAUGCUCUAGCCUUUAGGUUACUGAUGCUUCCAGAGAAUAUAGGAAUUCUAUAAAUCCUUAACCCUUCUUUGAAUGAGGGCUAGCGCUUAUAAAUUAGCUAAUAGUAUGACAAAUAAGAGCAAUUUGAAUUUUUCUUACAGAAUAAAAUAUACAAAUGGAAGAGUUAUCUAAUUCACCUAUUGGGUAGUAGAUAGAAAUGGUGAAUUCUCUUAAGCCACAGAAACAAGCUAGCACAUUGUGUGAUACACAUUGUACAACACUGAGGGUAAGUCACAAUUGUAGAUAAGAAUUGGUUAAGGGAGAUGCUAUAAUUAGCAAGUGGUUAAUGUUCUACUUCCCAAGUCCAAAAGGGGAUACAAUGGUUUUGUUGGUCCUCCAGCCCCUUUACUUUUAAGAGUAGUAUUUUCUAACCAUUCCAGGUUUCUCCAAAGCUCUGGAUAAAUUCUAGCAGAACCUAGCUGGCCGGGCAUGGUGGCUCAUACCUGUAAUCCCAGCACUCUGGGAAGCUGAGGUGGGCGGAUCACAAGGUCAGGAGAUCGAGACCAUGGUGAAACCCCGUCCCUACUAAAAAUAUUAAAAAAUUAGCCAGGCGUGGCGGCGGGCGCCUACAGUCCCAGCUACUCGGGAGGCUGAGGCAGGAGAAUGGCGGGAACCCGAGAGGCGGAGCUUGCAGUGAGCUGAGAUGGCGCCACUGCACUCCAGCCUGGGCAACAGAGUGAGACUCCAUCUCAAAACAAACAAACAAAAAAACCCCCAAAAACCCAGCAACACAGCAGUUAUAAAGGAUUAAACCUUAGCUCUAAACCACCUACCCUCAAAUUGGUAGUAGGUAUAUACACUUUUCUGGAGUGCAUACCAAACAUUUUCUGCAGUCUGGGGAAAAUGUUCUAAAAUUUGUAAAUGCCUUUCAAAAUAUAAGCCGGUAUAUUUACAGAAUUUCCUUCAAACAAAAUAAAUUUACUGUAUCAUUCUGUAAAAUGUCUGCAAUCUCCAGCUUUUGUGCUAAAAUUUAAAGUUGUAACAUGUAAAUAUUUCUGUAUUUUUGAAUUACCUUCUAUUGAAGGAACAUGUAAUAUUAACAUAUUCACUAGGCCAAAUCGGUGUUUUUGUAUCUCUUUUUAACCACCAAGCAAAUUUCUAGGCUGCUAGAAUCAGCCUGUCAGUGGCAGAAGUUAUGGUUAGAAAUCCUCUCCUGUUCAUUUUAUAGAUGGGAAAACUUAAGGAGCCAUGAGGGGGUUCUGCAACUCACCAGUCACACAGUCAGUUAAUGGCCAAGGAAAGAACCCAUUCUCCCAAAUGCCAACCCAGUACUCUCCACAGAAUUAAGCUAUAUUAGCAUCGUAAGCUAACAACUCUUUUCCUACAUCCCUACUGUAAGCCCCAGUAAAAUGAAGCUAAAGUAUCUUUUCCCCCUCCUGAUUAUUGGGAAAUCUGCAUUACCUAAAUGCCAGAUGCCUUGGGAUUUCAAAAUAGAAUUAUCUUACUGAAGAGAGGGCUGGUUAAUAGAAUGGAAUAAUAAAUGACUACUGCUGUGGCUUAGAUUUUUAAGAGAGUCCUAUUGCAGUCUGUCUACCAUGACAAUGACCUGCUUUGGUUUCCCUAAGAACACCCAAGAGGAGCAAUGACAAAAGUACACAUUUUUAUUAAUAGCUGAAUUUUAAACAGCCAAUGUGUGGAGGUUAUUUACUAACCAACAGGAAACACCUGCAGCAGGCUGCAUACUUAUAGAGCAGCAAACUUAAGGGAAGUCUGUAAGGCUUUACUGUCUUCCUUUUCAAGUCUCUUCACUGCUAUGCACAGUUGAGGGCAUAACCUUAAAAGUCUGUAACAUAACAAAAACAUUUUAAACAUCAAACAUCGUGCUUUCCCCACUGUGGCACAUUUUUAGAGUAAAGCAUUUGGCCAACUGGAUGUUACAGCAUGAUGCCCACUACAUUAUGUUUAAGCUUCCAUUCCAGUUCUGAACCCACCAGACCCUUGGAGCAGCUGGAAUUACCAAAUCAACAGGGUAUCAGUGUAACUCAAUCCUACAUGGAGCAAACAGACAAAGCAGUUAGUUCCUCAAACACCCAAUUUACUUGACAGAAUCAAAGACCAACUUUAUAAGUUUAGAAGUUUUUAAAAGCAGAUACACAUUUAGAAUUAAGCUAAAUGUAUAUCCUCCGUGUUCCCCCAUCCUCACCCUCAACUCUCACACACUCACCCCCUUGGUAGGAGAAUGGUGAGAAGUGGAUGAAACUUGAUGCUUGACUACAUGGCUCCAGUAAUGCAGUGAAAAGACAAAAACACAUCAACGUGACGUUCCAGGGAAAUAAACGCGAAAUCAUGCAUCCAACUGGCCACUAAGGGUUGGCUGUACAGAAUUGUAGUAUGCGUAUGGAGAAAAUGCUAACUGAACCUUUCUAAACAAAUAAAAAUAUACACAAUUAUUUUUCCAAUAGCUCAAGUAUUGACUUAUUUUAUGGGCAGAUGAUACCAAACUAGCAAAAAGCUUUAUGCUAAAAAUGUGCCUUUGUGGGAAAACCAGCAUGUUCGGUACUUAAAAUAUUUCCAUUCUGAACUGAAGUCAGUGAAUAGGCAUGUCUUGCAACUUCAUUUGCUUAGCAGGGUCUUGGUUUGAUUUGUAAAAACUGGGACAUAAAAUGUUUUACUAGCACUUGCCACUUAAAGUCCUAAAUUUGGUGUAUUGUGACCGUUGACAAGUAGUAGCAUUUCCCCCGCCCCCAAAAAAUCACAAUAUCAAUUCUGUGGAUAUUUUAAAAGUUUAUUUCUAUUUUAACUAGCCCACAGACCCCAUUCUUUGAGGGCUGAUCUGAUUUCUG
rnacentral:lncRNA from 10 species